CAACCAGAUGCUCUGCAGGGUGCAGCUUUAUACGACUGCAGAGGUUGAACCCUGAACGGUUGGGGCAAGUAUGGACACAACAUUCAAGCUGGAUUCAGCUCUAAAUUUGGAUUGUGAUUAAAUAGUUGACACAGCAUAGGUUUUUGACACAGAAUGAAUGUGGUCUAAUGAACUUAAAAAAAUAUGUUUGCCUUUGAGCAAUUCACUAUGCUGUUGAAUAUUAAUCCUCUCAAAAAAAUGUUUGAAGAAAUUUUAUUUUUAUUUAUGAAAUCUGAAAUGAGAAAAAUUGCCCCCCCCCCCUUUUUUUUUUCACUUUCCCUUAUUCCAAAACUGAUCUCAAUUCAAAUUUCUAAUGGAGUUUGCAACAAUAACUACUCAUUUAAAUACAUCAUAAAAUAUUAAAAUGUAAAAAAAGUGCUUG
rnacentral:lncRNA from 1 species